rnacentral:lncRNA from 1 species
UGUUGUGUUUAGUUCAUAAGAAUGGAAAAAGAAGAAGGGUAACUCGAUUUUGGGAGCAUUAAGAGCUUCAAAUUGGUUGUUCAUAGUGGUUAGGGUAUUGAUAACAAUGGCAAUUUUGUAAUUACUUGAAGAUGAUGAGGGUGAGAGAGUAAAAAUGUCAUUUUCGAAAAAAAAAAAAAAUUUGAUGGCAUUUUCGUGAAUUUUAUGAACUUGUGGGGUGAAUAGAGCAAAACCAAUUUU